UGGCUCAGUGGUAGAGUGCUUGCCUUGCAUGCAUGAGGCCCUAGGUUCAAUUCCUCAG
rfam:Dipodomys ordii contig_35916, whole genome shotgun sequence.